CAUACUGUCUAUUAAAGUGCACAAUACAAACACCAUAUGACCUCAAUCCCUCAGCCAGCUCAAUCACCAAUUCCACCGUCCAACAUUCUCCGCAGCUCCAUAGAACGACGGCGGCGGCAGCGGCAAUUAAGUAUCAGCUCAGCUGCAGCGCGAGAUGCGGCGGCGAGUGGAUCUAAUGUUGGAUUGAGGCGAGCAGGAUCAGCUCCUAGUUCAAAAUGUUGAAGUCAGCAAACGGCGAUGUGGAUCUGGCGGAGGAUAGAGCAGAAACCAGCGCUUCCAGCAGCGGCACGGCGGAAGUAGAGGUGGCCGCGGCGGCGGUGAGCGGCGGCGAUCGGCCGUGGAAGGAGGAAGUGGAGGUGAGGAGGGUUUGGUGGUAGGUUUAAUCCAUCUGAUAGAUCCGGCAGUUUUAAGCUUUUU
rnacentral:lncRNA from 1 species